rnacentral:rRNA from 1 species
CCGGACCUGACUGCUAUCGGAUUGGUACUAAGCCAUGCGAGUCAUUGUAGCAAUACAAGGCGGACGGCUCAGUAACACGUAGUCAACCUAACUCGUGGACGUGGAUAACCUCGGGAAACUGAGAAUAAACCACGAUAGAUCAUAGUGCCUGGAAUGGCUUAUGGUCCAAACAGUUUACUGCCAUGGGAUGGGACUGCGGCCUAUCAGCUUGUUGGUGAGGUAAUGGCCCACCAAGGCGAUUACAGGUACGGGCUCUGAGAGGAGAAGCCCGGAGAUGGGUACUGAGACACGGACCCAGGCCCUAUGGGGCGCAGCAGGCGAGAAACCUUAGCAAUGUGCGAAAGCACGACUGGGUCAGUCCGAGUGAUUCCUGAUAAAGGAGUCUUUUGCCUGUCCUAAAAGCACAGGUGAAUAAGGGGUGGGCAAGUCUGGUGUCAGCCGCCGCGGUAAUACCAGCACCUCGAGUGGUCAGGACGUUUAUUGGGCCUAAAGCAUCCGUAGCCGGCUCUGCGAGUCUUCGGUUAAAUCCACCUGCUCAACAGAUGGGCCGCUGGAGAUACUACAGAGCUAGGGAGUGGGAGAGGCAGACGGUAUUCAGUGGGUAGGGGUAAAAUCCUCUGAUCCAUUGAGGACCACCAGUGGCGAAGGCGGUCUGCCAGAACACGUUCGACGGUGAGGGAUGAAAGCUGGGGGAGCAAACCGGAUUAGAUACCCGGGUAGUCCCAGCUGUAAACGAUGCAAACUCGGUGAUGCAUUGGCUUAUGGGCCAAUGCAGUGCCGCAGGGAAGCCGUUAAGUUUGCCGCCUGGGAAGUACGGACGCAAGUCUGAAACUUAAAGGAAUUGGCGGGGGAGCACCACAAGGGUGAAGCCUGCGGUUCA